rnacentral:rRNA from 1 species
AUUGAACGCUGGCGGCAGGCCUAACACAUGCAAGUCGAGCGGAGCGGCGGACGGGUGAGUAAUGCCUAGGAAUCUGCCUGGGAGUGGGGGAUAACGUCCGGAAACGGGCGCUAAUACCGCAUACUAUCAGAUGAGACUAGGUCGUAUUAGCUAGUUGGGUGGGUAAAGGCAUACCAAGGCGACGAUCCGUAACUGGUCUGAGAGGAUGAUCAGUAAAAAUGGAACUGUGAAACGGUCCAGACUCCUACGGGAGGCAGCAGUGGGGAAUAUUGCACAAUGGGCGCAAGCCUGAUGCAGCCAUGCCGCGUGUAUGAAGAAGGCCUUCGGGUUGUAAAGUACUUUCAGCGGGGAGGCGUUACCCGCAGAAGAAGCACCGGCUAACUCCGUGCCAGCAGCCGCGGUAAUUC